rnacentral:rRNA from 7 species
AGAGUUUGAUUCUGGCUCAGAACGAACGCUGGCGGCGUGGAUAAGACAUGCAAGUCGAACGAGAGAAUUGCUAGCUUGCUAAUAAUUCUCUAGUGGCGCACGGGUGAGUAACACGUGAGUAACCUGCCCCCGAGAGCGGGAUAGCCCUGGGAAACUGGGAUUAAUACCGCAUAGUAUCGAAAGAUUAAAGCAGCAAUGCGCUUGGGGAUGGGCUCGCGGCCUAUUAGUUAGUUGGUGAGGUAACGGCUCACCAAGGCGAUGACGGGUAGCCGGUCUGAGAGGAUGUCCGGCCACACUGGAACUGAGACACGGUCCAGACACCUACGGGUGGCAGCAGUCGAGAAUCAUUCACAAUGGGGGAAACCCUGAUGGUGCGACGCCGCGUGGGGGAAUGAAGGUCUUCGGAUUGUAAACCCCUGUCAUGUGGGAGCAAAUUAAAAAGAUAGUACCACAAGAGGAAGAGACGGCUAACUCUGUGCCAGCAGCCGCGGUAAUACAGAGGUCUCAAGCGUUGUUCGGAAUCACUGGGCGUAAAGCGUGCGUAGGCUGUUUCGUAAGUCGUGUGUGAAAGGCGCGGGCUCAACCCGCGGACGGCACAUGAUACUGCGAGACUAGAGUAAUGGAGGGGGAACCGGAAUUCUCGGUGUAGCAGUGAAAUGCGUAGAUAUCGAGAGGAACACUCGUGGCGAAGGCGGGUUCCUGGACAUUAACUGACGCUGAGGCACGAAGGCCAGGGGAGCGAAAGGGAUUAGAUACCCCUGUAGUCCUGGCAGUAAACGGUGCACGCUUGGUGUGCGGGGAAUCGACCCCCUGCGUGCCGGAGCUAACGCGUUAAGCGUGCCGCCUGGGGAGUACGGUCGCAAGAUUAAAACUCAAAGAAAUUGACGGGGACCCGCACAAGCGGUGGAGUAUGUGGCUUAAUUCGAUGCAACGCGAAGAACCUUACCUGGGCUUGACAUGUAAUGAACAACAUGUGAAAGCAUGCGACUCUUCGGAGGCGUUACACAGGUGCUGCAUGGCCGUCGUCAGCUCGUGUCGUGAGAUGUUUGGUUAAGUCCAGCAACGAGCGCAACCCCUGUUGCCAGUUACCAGCACGUGAAGGUGGGGACUCUGGCGAGACUGCCCAGAUCAACUGGGAGGAAGGUGGGGACGACGUCAGGUCAGUAUGGCCCUUAUGCCCAGGGCUGCACACGUACUACAAUGCCCAGUACAGAGGGGGCCGAAGCCGCGAGGCGGAGGAAAUCCUAAAAACUGGGCCCAGUUCGGACUGUAGGCUGCAACCCGCCUACACGAAGCCGGAAUCGCUAGUAAUGGCGCAUCAGCUACGGCGCCGUGAAUACGUUCCCGGGUCUUGUACACACCGCCCGUCACAUCAUGGAAGCCGGUCGCACCCGAAGUAUCUGAAGCCAACCGCAAGGAGGCAGGGUCCUAAGGUGAGACUGGUAACUGGGAUGAAGUCGUAACAAGGUAGCCGUAGGGGAACCUGCGG